CCUACGGGGGGCAGCAGUGAGGAAUAUUGGUCAAUGGACGAGAGUCUGAACCAGCCAAGUAGCGUGAAGGAUGACUGCCCUAUGGGUUGUAAACUUCUUUUAUAUGGGAAUAAAAUGUUCCACGUGUGGGAUUUUGUAUGUACCAUAUGAAUAAGGAUCGGCUAACUCCGUGCCAGCAGCCGCUGUAAUACGGAGGAUCCGAGCGUUAUCCGGAUUUAUUGGGUUUAAAGGGAGCGUAGGUGGAUUGUUAAGUCAGUUGUGAAAGUUUGCGGCUCAACCGUAAAAUUGCAGUUGAAACUGGCAGUCUUGAGUACAGUAGAGGUGGGCGGAAUUCGUGGUGUAGCGGUGAAAUGCUUAGAUAUCACGAAGAACUCCGAUUGCGAAGGCAGUUCACUGGACUGCAACUGACACUGAGGCUCGAAAGUGUGGGUAUCAAACAGGAUUAGAUACCCUAGUAGUC
rnacentral:rRNA from 1 species